GGUUUAUUGAUUAUAAUUUUAAGUCUAAUCUGCCCAAUGAUUAUUUAAAUGGCUGCAGUAUUUUAACUGUACAAAGGUAGCAUAAUAAUUAGUUUCUUAAUUAGGGACUGGAAUGAAAGAUUGAACGAGACAAUAACUGUCUUAAUUUAAAUUUAAGAAUUUUAUUUUUAAGUUAAAAAGCUUAAAUUUGUUUAAAAGACGAGAAGACCCUAUAGAAUUUUAUAUAAUUAUAUUAUUUAAAUUUUAGAAUAGGAAUUUUAUAAUUUUUAUAAGAGUAUUUGAUUGGGGUGAUUGAAAAAUUUAAUUAACUUUUUUAAUAAUUUUUACAUUUAUUUAUGUAUAAUUGAUCCAAUGUUUUUGAUUAUAAGAUUAAAUUACCUUAGGGAUAACAGCGUAAUUUUUUUANAGAGUUCUUAUCGAUAAAAGAGAUUGCGACCUCGAUGUUGGAUUAAAGUUCAUUUUUAAUGUAGAAGUUAGAAUAUUAGGUCUGUUCGACCUUGAAAACUUUACAUGAUCUGAGUUUAAAUCAGCGUGAGCCAGGUUGGAUUCUAUCUUUAAUAAAAUUUAAUAUUUUAGUACGAAGGGACCAAAUAUUAGUUAUAAUAAUUAAUUUUUGAAUUAUA
rnacentral:rRNA from 1 species